rnacentral:rRNA from 1 species
UACCCCUAGCAAAUCUCAAAAAACCGAUCGUAGUCCGGAUUGCAGUCUGCAACUCGACUGCAUGAAGUCGGAAUCGCUAGUAAUCGCGGAUCAGCACGCCGCGGUGAAUACGUUCCCGGGCCUUGUACACACCGCCCGUCACACCAUGGGAGUUGGUUGCACCAGAAGUAGGUAGCUUAACCCUCGGGAGGGCGCUUACCACGGUGUGGUCAGCGACUGGGGUGAAG